CAGAGUUUAUCCAAACUCCCAAACCCAUGUGAACAUACCUUUUGUUGCCUCGGCAGUGGUGUCUCUUCCCCGUUCCGCGGGGAUGGGGGCAGCCUGCCGGUGGACCACACCAAAACUCUUGUUGUUACAGUGUCAUUCUGAAUUUAAAACUUAAUCAGUUA
rnacentral:misc_RNA from 1 species